UACGUAGGGUGCAAGCGUUGUCCGGAAUUAUUGGGCGUAAAGAGCUCGUAGGCGGUCUGUCACGUCGGGUGUGAAAACUCAGGGCUCAACCCCGAGCCUGCAUACGAUACGGGCAGACUUGAGUUCGGCAGGGGAGACUGGAAUUCCUGGUGUAGCGGUGAAAUGCGCAGAUAUCAGGAGGAACACCGGUGGCGAAGGCGGCAUCCUGGACUGGUCCUGACACUCAGGAGCGAAAGCGUGGGGAGCGAUCCGG
rnacentral:rRNA from 1 species